UAAGACGAACCGUCCUAACGUUGUUCGGAUUCACUGGGCUUAAAGGGCGCGUAGGCGGGCAGCUAAGUCCGGGGUGAAAGCCCCCAGCUCAACUGGGGAAGUGCCUUGGAAACUGACUGUCUCGAGGGGGGUAGGGGCCUGUGGAACUUCGGGUGGAGCGGUGAAAUGCGUUGAUAUCCGAAGGAACGCCGGUGGCGAAAGCGACGGGCUGGACCCCUUCUGACGCUGAGGCGCGAAAGCCAGGGGAGCAAAC
rnacentral:rRNA from 1 species